AGGAAAAGAAACUAACCAGGAUUCCCCUAGUAACUGCGAGUGAAGCGGGAAAAGCUCAAAUUUAAAAUCUGGUAGUCUCUGGCUGCCCGAGUUGUAAUCUAGAGAAGUGUUAUCCGCGCUGGACCGUGUAUAAGUCUCCUGGAAUGGAGCGUCAUAGAGGGUGAGAAUCCCGUCUUUGACACGGACUACCAGGGCUUUGUGAUGCGCUCUCAAAGAGUCGAGUUGUUUGGGAAUGCAGCUCUAAAUGGGUGGUAAAUUCCAUCUAAAGCUAAAUAUUGGCGAGAGACCGAUAGCGAACAAGUACCGUGAGGGAAAGAUGAAAAGAACUUUGGAAAGAGAGUUAAACAGUACGUGAAAUUGUUGAAAGGGAAACGCUUGAAGUCAGUCGCGUUGGCUAGGAAUCAGCCUUGCUUUUGCUUGGUGUACUUCCUUGUUGACGGGUCAGCAUCAAUUUUGACCGGUGGAAAAAGACUAGUGGAAUGUGGCAUCUUCGGAUGUGUUAUAGCUGCUAGUUGUAUACAUCGGUUGGGAUUGAGGAACUCAGCACGCCGAAAGGUCGGGGUUCGCCCACGUUCGUGCUUAGGAUGCUGGCAUAAUGGCUUUAAUCGACCCGUCUUGAAACACGGACCAAGGAGUCUAACAUGCCUGCGAGUGUUUGGGUGGAAAACCCGAGCGCGUAAUGAAAGUGAAAGUUGAGAUCCCUGUCGUGGGGAGCAUCGACGCCCGGACCAGACCUUCUGUGACGGAUCCGCGGUAGAGCAUGUAUGUUGGGACCCGAAAGAUGGUGAACUAUGCCUGAAUAGGGUGAAGCCAGAGGAAACUCUGGUGGAGGCUCGUAGCGAUUCUGACGUGCAAAUCGAUCGUCAAAUUUGGGUAUAGGGGCGAAAGACUAAUCGAACCA
rnacentral:rRNA from 1 species